GUCAGCGGUCAUAGGGGGGAGGAAACACCCGUUCCCAUCUCGAACACGGAAGUUAAGCUCCUCCACGGUUUUGCUUGUACUGGUCCAUGACUGGGAACGCGGACUGCUGCUGACA
rnacentral:rRNA from 1 species